GAUGAACGCUAGCGGAAGGCUUAAUACAUGCAAGUCGAGCGGUAGGUGGCUUCGGCCAUUGAGAGCGGCGCACGGGUGAGUAACGCGUACAUGACCUGCCUGUCAGAAGGGGAUAGCCCUGGGAAACUGGGAUUAAAUACCCUAUGGUAUUGAUAUUAUGAAUGAUAUCAAUUAAAGUUGAGGCGCUGACAGAUGGAUGUGCGUCUGAUUAGCUAGUUGGUAAGGUAACGGCCUACCAAGGCGACGAUCAGUAGGGGGCGUGAGAGCGUGGGUCCCCCACACGGGUACUGAGACACGGACCCGACUCCUACGGGAGGCAGCAGUAAGGAAUAUUGGUCAAUGCCCGCAAGGGUGAACCAGCCAUUCCGCGUGGAGGAUGAAGGCCCUAUGGGUUGUAAACUUCUUUUAGAUGGGAAGAAAAUGCUAGAUGUAUCUGGUACUGACGGUACCAUCAGAAUAAGCACCGGCUAACUCCGUGCCAGCAGCCGCGGU
rnacentral:rRNA from 1 species